rnacentral:rRNA from 1 species
AGCGAACGCUGGCGGCAGGCUUAACACAUGCAAGUCGAGCGCCCCGCAAGGGGAGCGGCAGACGGGAGAGUAACACGUGGGAACAUACCUUUUGGUUCGGAACAACUGAGGGAAACUUCAGCUAAUACCGGAUAAGCCCUUACGGGGAAAGAUUUAUCGCCGAAAGAUUGGCCCGCGUCUGAUUAGCUAGUUGGUGGGGUAACGGCUCACCAAGGCGACGAUCAGUAGCUGGUCUGAGAGGAUGAUCAGCCUCACUGGGACUGAGACACGGCCCAGACUCCUACGGGAGGCAGCAGUGGGGAAUAUUGGACAAUGGGGGCAACCCUGAUCCAGCCAUGCCGCGUGAGUGAUGAAGGCCCUAGGGUUGUAAAGCUCUUUUGCCCGGGAAGAUAAUGACGGUACCGGGAGAAUAAGCCCCGGCUAACUUCGUG